rnacentral:tRNA from 1 species
GAGGGUAUAACUCAGUGGUGGAGUGUGUGCCUAGCAUGCAUGAGGUCCUGGGUUCCAAUCCCAGCACCUUCA